ACUCAAAGGAAUUGACGGGGACUCGCACAAGCAGUGGAGCAUGUGGUUUAAUCCGAUGCAACGCGUAGAACCUUACCAAGGCUUGACAUGUUUGGCAAAACUUGGGAAACCAAGUGGAGGUUAUCCAAACACAGGUGCUGCAUGGCCGUCGUCAGUUCGUGCCGUGAGGUGUAUGGUUAAUUCCUAUAACGAACGCAACCCUUGGGCUUAGUUGCCAGCACGUAAAGGUGGGACUCUCUAGGCCGACUGCUUGAGUAAUCAGGAGGAAGGAAAGGAUGACGUCUGGUCGUCAUGGCCCUUAUGCCUUGGGCGACACACGUGCUACAAUGGUUAAUACAAAGGGAUGCCAACCCGCGAGGGGGAGCAAAUCUCAAAAAAUUAGCCUCAGUUCGGAUUGGAGGCUGCAACCCGCCUCCAUGAAGUUGGAAUUGCUAGUAAUCGCAAAUCAGCCAUGUUGCGGUGAAUACGUUCUCGAGUCUUGUACACACCGCCCGU
rnacentral:rRNA from 1 species